rnacentral:rRNA from 1 species
AAAAAGCUCGUAGUUGGAGUUCAGAGUGAGCUCAGCCGGUCGGCCUAAUGGGUCAGAACUGGUUGACUCUCUCUUGUUUGUGGAUCCCUCCGGAGUUAACUCUUCGGAUGUGGAGUCCACAUCGUUUACCUUGAAAAAAUUAGAGUGUUCAAAGCAGGCGUUUGCUUGAAUAUAUUAGCAUGGAAUAAUGGAAUAGGACGCUGGUUCUAUUUUGUUGGUUUUGAGAACCAGAGUAAUGAUUAAUAGGGACAGUUGGGGGCAUUCAUAUUUCAUUGUCAGAGGUGAAAUUCUUGGAUUUAUGAAAGAUGAACUUCUGCGAAAGCAUUUGCCAAGGAUGUUUUCAUUAAUCAAAAACGAAAGUUAGGGGAUCGAAAACGAUCAGAUACCGUCGUAGUCUUAACCAUAAACUAUGCCGACUAGGGAUUGGGCGUGGUUUGUUCAUUGACCCGCUCAGCACCUUACGAAAAAUCAAAGUCUUUGGGUUCCGGGGGGAGUAUGGUCGCAAGGCUGAAACUUAAAGGAAUUGACGGAGGGGCACCACCAGGAGUGGAGCCUGCGGCUUAAUUUGACUCAACACGGGAAAACUUACCAGGUCC